ensembl:lncRNA
UAAAAUAAUAUCCCUCUAUACGGGAGGGUAAAAUAAUGUCCCUCUGUACGGGAGGGUAAAAUAAUGUCCCUCUAUACGGGAGGGUAAAAUAAUGUCCCUCUAUACGGGAGGGUAAAAUAAUGUCCCUCUAUACGGGAGGGUAAAAUAAUGUCCCUCUAUACGGGAGGGUAAAAUAAUGUCCCUCUGUACGGGAGGGUAAAAUAAUAUCCCUCUAUACGGGAGGGUAAAAUAAUGUCCCUCUAUACGGGAGGGUAAAAUAAUAUCCCUCUAUACGGGAGGGUAAAAUAAUGCAUUAGUCAUACUAAUUCAAUCUAAUCAAGCAAACAAAUAUAUAAAUAAACAUUUAAAAAAGGGAUUAACAAUUGUUACAUAUAAACUUGACUGUUACACUUCAGAAUGGUAAGUAGUUAUACAGCAUUUCCCAUAACUUUGUCUCUAAGAAGUGCUAGUUUACGGUAACAACUAAGCUAAAAACUAUGGAUUUGAACCACAGUUGAGCGUAGAUACUCUGAAUGAUAGAAACCACAGCUGGGGGCAACCCCACAGCUAGCAGCUUACCAGCACAGUAUUAUAUUAUAAUUUUACUAUACAGUUAUGUCCUAUGUAUGCAUUAAUGCAUCAUUCAUGUUGUUAAGAAUGCAUUCAUUAGAAUAUAUAACACUAUACAAGAAGCAGCUUCAAGUAAGUGUUACGAUAUUAUAUCAUGUCAUAUUAUACUGUUCUAUAUUACAGUGUAUUUCAUGUUAUAUUUGAUUAUAUUUACACUUAGUUUCAUCUUAUAUAUUAUAUAUUUUCAACUGGCUUCAUGCCGUUGCUGACCAGUCCUGGUCCUGCUUGUUCACCAGAGCAGUUUUCUUCAUCCACUGACCAACAGGGUUGUUCUCCAACCUUAGACACAGAACACAGUAAGACAGGCUGGUUCAGGAAACAUGGUUAAAAACAUGGUUAUUAUACAAUCCUG